CACUCACCUACCCACUCACAGGUGUCAGCGGCCCUGCCUUUGGCUAUGUCAAUCCCCACGGACACCAACGAUGUCACAAAAUGGCAGCAAACAGUGGAAGAUGGUAGUCAGAGAAGGCAACAGAGUUCUCAGGAAAUGGAGUCCAGAAGUUGUAGAAUUUGGACUGUGGCUUACACGACCACAUGAGAUCCACGGGGAGCUGGAGGAGCCUGGAGCCUGUCUGCAUCCCUGCCAUCUAGGACGUCAGCAGAGAAGCCACAGGUCGGGAGCUGCAAAGAUGGAUGCCUUGUGCCCUGCCCCAGCCUCCCAAGGGCAACAGAGUGAUACUCCAUCUCAAAAGAAAAAAAAAAAGAGGACGAUAAAUCUGAGCACCUUAGCACCCUCAGCCCCCCUUGCCAUGUGAUGCCCUGACCACCUCAUGACUCUGCAGAGAAUCUCCACCAGCAAGAAGGCCCUCACCAGAUUUAGUCCCUAGACCUUGGACUUCUCAGCCUCCCAAAAUGUAAGAAAUAAAUGCCUUUUCUUUAUCAAUUA